CUAAUUCCCCCUUAUUUGUACUAUUCCUAUAUGUUGUAUUUGAUUGUUUGCUAUUAAUAAAAACCUAACCCUAGGCUCUUGCGAAGUGGUGCUUAAAAAAAAAAAAUAUUGAGUCCCUGAAUUACAGGAGCUGGACCCAAUAAGCUAGAGUGGAGAAAACAGUACAUGAUUUAUGAAUUCACUUCGUAUUCUAUCAAAUUGCCUUCAACAUACUGAAAUGAUCUAAGUAAGUUGCCUGGCUGAUGAAAAACUAAUUAACAGGAAUUCCGCACAUGCUAUUGUAACUCAUAAAUUACACCAGCUUCUCACAAUAGUUAACAUCAAAAUAUGCUUACAUACUACCCCAGACAAAUAGAUCUAGAGAGCUAAUUAAAAGAAUUUCAAGUUAGAAGAAUACAUAAGCUUCAUCUCUAGUUUCCAUUUCAUUCCACAAAGUCUGGGACACUCAAUCGAGUUUAUAGGAUCAAGUACAUGGAAUGAAGCAAAGGGAAAAACCUAUGAGUAGGCAGUCAAGAGAACAAUAGCAAUAGCAGCAACAAAUCUUCAGCAAAUGCAGCAAAUAGAGUAAGCUCAGUUCCCAGAUUCGAAAAGAAGGAGUUGUCAAAUAAAUUGGGAUAUUAAUAUUGAGUAGAUAAUCUCAAGCAUGUCUUCAGCAAAUGCAGCAAAUAGGCUAAGCUAGAUUACCAGAUUCGAAUAGAGGAAGUUGUCACAUAAAUUAGGAUCUAGAGCAGAUAACACCAACAAAUCAACCCAAAGAGCUAAAAAACAACCCUAAUAUACUCUAAAUCACUAAGAAUUGCAUCCAACCAAACAUGGAAUCCUAACACAUCAAAACACACAUGUUUCAAGUCUUUUCAGCUGAUUCAGAUUAGGAGUACGAAUUGACUGUUGAGAAUUGGAAUUAAUUAUGAGGAAAAUCACUUUAAUGAAGAAACAAUUGGGAAGUUUUAGACUCUAAUCUUCUUUCAGAAUUUC
rnacentral:lncRNA from 1 species